rnacentral:rRNA from 1 species
AACGAACGCUGGCGGCAUGCCUAACACAUGCAAGUCGAACGAGACCUUCGGGUCUAGUGGCGCACGGGUGCGUAACGCGUGGGAACCUGCCCUUAGGUUCGGAAUAACUCCCCGAAAGGGGUGCUAAUACCGGAUAAUGUCUUCGGACCAAAGAUUUAUCGCCUUUGGAUGGGCCCGCGUUGGAUUAGCUAGUUGGUAGGGUAAAAGCCUACCAAGGCGACGAUCCAUAGCUGGUCUGAGAGGAUGAUCAGCCACACUGGGACUGAGACACGGCCCAGACUCCUACGGGAGGCAGCAGUGGGGAAUAUUGGACAAUGGGCGAAAGCCUGAUCCAGCAAUGCCGCGUGAGUGAUGAAGGCCUUAGGGUUGUAAAGCUCUUUUACCCGGGAUGAUAAUGACGGUACCGGGAGAAUAAGCUCCGGCUAACUACGUG